GAUGAGCCCGCGUCCGAUUAGCUAGUUGGUGGGGUAAACGCCUACCAAGGCGACGAUCGGUAGCUGGUCUAAGAGGAUGAUCAGCCACAUUGGGACUGAGACACGGCCCAAACUCCUACGGGAGGCAGCAGUGGGGAAUAUUGGACAAUGGGCGCAAGCCUGAUCCAGCCAUGCCGCGUGAGUGAUGAAGGCCCUAGGGUUGUAAAGCUCUUUCACCGGGGACGAUAAUGACGGUACCCGGAGAAGAAGCCCCGGCUAACUUCGUGCCAGCAGCCGCGGUAAUACGAAGGGGGCUAGCGUUGUUCGGAAUUACUGGGCGUAAAGCGCACGUAGGCGGACAUUUAAGUCAGGGGUGAAAUCCCGGGGCUCAACCCCGGAACGGCCUUUGAUACUGGGUGUCUUGAGUUCGGAAGAGGUGAGUGGAAUUGCGAGUGUAGAGGUGAAAUUCGUAGAUAUUCGCAGGAACACCAGUGGCGAAGGCGGCCCCCUGGACAAAGACUGACGCUCAGGUGCGAAAGCGUGGGGAGCAAACAGGAUUAGAUACCCUGGUAGUCCACGCC
rnacentral:rRNA from 1 species